UUUAAGGUCUAACCUGCCCAAUGAGGAUUUAAAUGGCCGCAGUAUUUUGACUGUGCAAAGGUAGCAUAAUUAUUAGUUUUUUAAUUGAAAGCUUGUAUGAAGGGUUGGACGAGAUGAAAUCUGUCUUUAUUUAAAUUAAAAUAUAAUUUAACUUUUAAGUAAAAAGGCUUAAAUGUUUAUAAAAGACGAGAAGACCCUAUAGAUCUUUAUUUAAUUGAAAUUUUAAUAAUUUAGGAUUAUUUUAAUUUAAAGUUUUAAUUAAAUUUUAUUGGGGUAAUAUAAAGAUUAAAUAAAUUCUUUUUAUUUAUAACAUUGAUUUAUGAAUAUAUGAUCCAUUAAUAUUGAUUAUAAGAUUAAGUUACCUUAGGGAUAACAGCGUAAUUUUUUUGGAGAGCUCAUAUCGAUAAAAAAGUUUGCGACCUCGAUGUUGGAUUAAAAAUUAGCUUGGGUGCAGAAGCUCAAGAUUUUGGUCUGUUCGACCAUUAAAUUUUUACAUGAUCUGAGUUCAGACCGGCGUAAGCCAGGUCGGUUUCUAUCUUUAUUAAAAUAAAAUAUUUUAGUACGAAAGGACCAAAUAUUUAGUAUAAUUAUAUUUAUUUUUUGAAGAAUAUU
rnacentral:rRNA from 1 species